UACGUAGGGGGCAAGCGUUAUCCGGAAUUACUGGGUGUAAAGGGAGCGUAGACGGCUAAUCAAGUCAGAAGUGAAAACCCAGGGCUCAACCUUGGGACUGCUUUUGAAACUGAGUAGCUAGAGUGCAGGAGAGGCAGGCGGAAUUCCUAGUGUAGCGGUGAAAUGCGUAGAUAUUAGGAGGAACACCAGUGGCGAAGGCGGCCUGCUGGACGAUGACUGACGUUGAGGCUCGAAAGCGUGGGGAGCAAACAGG
rnacentral:rRNA from 1 species